rnacentral:lncRNA from 1 species
UUAGAAAGCAAGAACAUCACCAAACAGCGAGUUAAGAAGAUAUGUCCGCUUGGUGUCGAGGUUAAAGGCAAACGAUGCGAAACUCAGGACGACUAUAAGGCCCCUCCUGCUGCUCCCCCACAGUAAAGAGUUCUUCAUAUAUGAGGGUUCGCUCACGUCUCCGCCAUGCUCGGAGUCAGUACUAUGGGUCGUUAUGAGGCAACCAUUACAGCUGAGUUCACGAGGGCUGCAGAUGCUGAGGAACCUUCCAAGAAAAGGUGGGCGGGUGUUGGCGACAUAUACAAACGUCCGCCCCGAACAAGAACUUAACAACAGGCUUGUGGAAACCAAUUUCCCUUGUUCAGACAACCUCGAUGCCUUCAAUACACCGACAGAACACGGAGGACAUUUAUAGAUAUGAACAUUGGAAAAUGUCACGAAUAUGUGUUUGUUAAAGAGUUUAGGAGCUUAUAUUAACAUAUUUAUGUCAAUACAUUUGUUUGGCAUUUCCAAAUUUGACGCCUCAGUGACACAACUUAUAUCCUAUGCAAUUCCCUAUGUGUACCUUAUGUUCCUGUCUUUUGUAAUUUAACAACUGACUUGCCUUUGCAUGUAUUUGUGAUGGUUGCCUCCAGUGAGGAAGGAUAUGUUCACCUUCUCGUGAACACCAUGAACAUGUGUUUGUUGCUUUAAUAUAUGAAAAAGGUUGAUUACUUUACAUUACAUAGGAUUGAUUAUGUUGUGUAAGUUUAACAUCUAUUUAUAUGUUUGAAUAGGAUAUUGAAAUACUUCCAUGCCAUACAUACUCUUAACUCAUCAGCAACCCAUGCUUGUCGUAAGAGACGACUAACGGGAUCAGGUGGUCAGGCUCUCAAACUUUGUUGAUGCAUGUCAUCGUAUCCCAAUUGUGUAGAU